rnacentral:sRNA from 1 species
GCCAGGUGCAGUGGCAUACACCUGUAAUCCCAAAGCUCAGGAGGCUGAGGCAGGAGGAUUGCGAGUCUCAAAACCAGCCUCAGCCACAGCAAGGUGCUAAGCAACUCAGUGAGACCCUGUUUCUA